UUCGGUGCCCGAUGCAGGGUCUGAGCUGACACAGCACCAACCAAGAGGUCGUAGCAGUGCUCAUUUUCGAUGCUGGGUCUCAGGCAGUGGGAUCAGGUGCUGCCAUCUCCUCCUGGUGGUCCCUGAGAGCACAGGGAGCCUUUUCUGUAGCAGUGCCGUUCUCAGACAUCGUCACAUUUGAAGCUGCUGUCUGAGAACACACAGAGCACGCCUCAUCUCGCUGGUGGCUGUGCCUAUUGCCUCCUUGAGCCUCUGCUGCCACUGCCAUGUCUGAGCAUGGUGGGUGUUGUACCGAAACCGGUGAAAAAGAAGAGAUUAAAGCCCAGAUAGAUUUAGAGAAAUGAGGAGAACUGUAACCGCAUCGAGCUCUCCGCCGCUGAUACAAGAUAAAGGAGUCAAAUCGUGUGUGGUUUCCUUCAGACCAAGCUUGUGGUGCAGAGUUUCAUGAAUGAUGUUGUCCAAAGU
rnacentral:lncRNA from 7 species